UACAGCGGUCUCAAGCGUUGUUCGGAUUCAUUGGGCGUAAAGGGUGCGUAGGCGGCGCGGUCAGUCGGGUGUGAAAUCUUGGAGCUUAACUCCGAAACUGCAUUCGAUACUGCCGUGCUUGAGGACUGGAGAGGAGACUGGAAUUUACGGUGUAGCGGUGAAAUGCGUGGAUAUCGUAAGGAAGACCAGUGGCGAAGGCGGGUCUCUGGACAGUUCCUGACGCUGAGGCACGAAGGCCAGGGGAGCAAACGGG
rnacentral:rRNA from 1 species